UGGCCGAGGCGGCGGCGGCGCGCAUGCGAGGUCUGUGGAGGGCUGGGCAUCGUGGAGGAGAGGGCGGUACGGCGUCCUUACCUAUCGGCUCGCGGCUCGGAGGUCGGUGAUCUCUCGAUCUGUGAUUAAAACCGUUCCUCUAAGCCGCCAGAAUCUAGGCAGAAUUAAGCAGCAAUCUCAGGCAUGCUGGUGCUGGAGAUACUCGUUUUCCUCUGUAGAGCUUCUCACGAAUGGGCUGCGCGUCCCUGCCAGGAGCUGAACGGAGCUGACGGAUGUCGCCUACCUGGGCUCGUGCAAAGCCUUUGGCGUGGUCCCUCACCACGUCCUGAUCUCUGCACUGGGGAGAUACAGGUUUGAGAAGUGGAAUUAUGGCUGACUCCUAAUGAUGCCCGUGUCCUCAGGAGCCCUUUCUGGGGAUUUCUGAUCAGCACAAAAACAUGCUAGGAGGAGGAUGGAGUUAAUCAGUUGGGCUUUCCUGCUGCUAUAUUCAGCCUAGCAAACUGACUCCGACAGAUGUUUCUGCUUUUAGGCCAUGAGGAACUUUACUGACUGGCUUUCCCUGUGCUCAAGAAGCACAUCAAGCUAUCAAAGACUUGGUUUCUGUCAGAGCGUUGUCUCUUCAGGGGCCAUGGACUGCAGGUGACUGAAGUUGCAGAGCAGAGCCAUGCAGAGCAGAGCUCAGAGCCCCCUGCUUCCAGCCAGCCUGCCAUCAGUUGUCCCAACUUGCUGACUUUUUGGGAUAAGGGCCAGACCUUGAACAAAAUGUCUUGCACAGCCGUUAGACAAGACCAGAUUAAAGCAAAAUGGACCAGAUUUUCUUCUCAGUUGCACCACUGUAUUUGAAAUUAUGCCAGGACAACUCCAGGAAGCAGUUUCAUGCUGAAAGGAAGGACAUCUCAGGGGGUAUCAGGUUUUCCUGACUCAUGGCAUUGCUGAUUUUCAAAGGGACACAAUGUCUAGAAUUGUGUCUGCCUGUCCUGCAAAUGGUGCCUUUUUAAAUCAGACACAGUUAUUUGUGCUCACUACACAGGUAUCUCAAGGCAUUGAGUUCCAUGGGUCAAUAAGGAAGGCAGUUAUCCGUCCAACCAAAAUUACAGGUGCAAAAUUGUGCCUGCAGCUACCCGUGGCCAUAAAAAACAGGCAUCCUCUGAAGGCCGGUUGUAACAGAAGUGUUGCCACACAGCAGAUGUGGGAGUCCUUCCUGCCCCAGUUGAGCCCUCGGGGCGUUUCUGCAGCACGUAGUCUGUUUGCUUGGAGGAUGGAGAAAAACAAUUUUCCCCAUCCUUUAUGGGGAUGACUGUUUUUGUGGACUCUGAUGUUACUAAAACAAUUUCUACUUCAUGAAUCAUUAGUCUGCCAGUGACAUGUUAUGCAGCUGCGCUUGUAUCAAAUCCCUGUUAAUUAUCUAAGUAAGCAAGUUUGCUUCCUUUCCCACUAUGGUCGCUAGUCGUGUGUCUUGUUGGAGGCUCCUGUCCUGCCCUGCCAGCAGUUGUCCUUGCAAGGCUUUUCUCCUCGAAGCUGCCGAUGUGAGGAAAGACUUGUUCCCCAAGGCCUGAUUCAAAUCCUUUUGAAAUCAGGAGAGAGGUGCUCACAGUUCUUAAUGGGUUUGUAUUACAUCCUCAGAUAGUAACUUUUUCCGGGCAGGAAUUUUGCUUCAAAUGCUUCUUGAAGACAUUUGAGAGAUCUGUCAACUGAUAAAAUACCCAGCUUUAAACCAAUACAAACAGUGGAUCCCCUGAGUAUGCUGUUAUAUUGUAGAAUAAAGUUGCUUUUUGUUUGUUUUUCUUGAAAAAGCAAUAGUCUCAUCUUCUUUCUUGUCCAGAAUCAGACCCAUGCUAGCUUUUCAGUUAGAGACAUCCAAACCUGUAUGCAUAAGCCCAACUUUGUCUCCCACCUAACAAAGAAUGAAGAAAAGGCAGUUCCUCACUCUCUACUAAUCUGCACCUGUAGAUCAUCCAGUAGAUGUCCAAAUUCCUCUUUUUUUGGCUCAAAUCUACUGGAGUGUAAGGGCUGCUUGAGGAGUCUGAGGCAAGGAAAAUCCAGAUUUGUCCUCAAUGGGGUUGUUUCAUGCAAAUCUCAAAACAUGAGAUUUUUUACAACAAUCAUUUUAUUCAAAGGUGUUAACAAAAACACAAUGAAAACCAUGAUAUAAGCCCAUUUUUCCACCCACCAGAGAUUUACCUUCACUUUGUGUGGCUG